GCUGAACUGCUUCUUCUCUAGUGCAUUGCUUCCCUUCAUAUGCGCUCUAUCUCAAUUUUCUAUCCAUAUUAGUUACAUUUUGCUAGGAAUACGAUUUAUUGGUAUUGCAUUGUGUCUUGGGAAUUUCUGAAGUGAAGUAUCCAUUUGGGCGAAUCAACUUCAGAAUGUCACUGCUCAUCUAAAGAUGUGUACGUUUCUAAGAGUACUGGACAUGGUGUAAUUUCAAACCCGCUAUCAGGUAUGUUUAGAGAUGACAUUCAUUUGGUUUAAAGAUUGAUAUAGCUGUUAUGAUGGCAUUGAGUGCAAUAUGAUAUGUAGAGUGAGCCUGCUUCAUUUUUUGGAUGUGAGAAUAUGAUCAGGUGAUAACAAUACAAAUCACCAAGCAAAUACUUAGCAUAUCUGCAUAUUUACUUAUUAUGGACAGCUGUAGAAUGUAUAA